rnacentral:rRNA from 1 species
CCCGCAAGGGCAACCGGCGAACGGGUGCGUAACACGUGAGCAACAUUCCGAUUUCUGGGGGAUAGCCGGCCCAACGGCCGGGUAAUACCGCAUACGCUCAUCGAGAGGAGUCUCUUGGUGAGGAAACCUCCGGGGGUAAUCGAGUGGCUCGCGGCCUAUCAGCUAGUUGGCGGGGUAAUGGCCCACCAAGGCGAUGACGGGUUGCUGGUCUGAGAGGAUGGCCAGCCACAUUGGGACUGAGAAACGGCCCAGACUCCUACGGGAGGCAGCAGUGGGGAAUCUUGCGCAAUGGCCGAAAGGCUGACGCAGCGACGCCGCGUGAGGGAGGAAGCUCUUCGGGGUGUAAACCUCUGUUGCCGGGAACGAAACUCUGGAUUCGUCCAGAUUGACGGUACUCGGUGAGGAAGCGCCGGCUAACUCUGUGCCAGCAGCCGCGGUAAUACAGAGGGCGCGAGCGUUGUCCGGAAUCACUGGGCGUAAAGGGCGCGUAGGUGGCCACUAUAAGGCCGCGGUGAAAGUUCGGGGCUCAACCCUGAAUCUGCCGCGGCGACUGUAGGGCUUGGGCACUGUAGAGGCAGAUGGAAUUCCGGGUGUAGCGGUGGAAUGCGUAGAGAUCCGGAAGAACACCAGUGGCGAAGGCGGUCUGCUGGGCAGUGGGAGCGCAAGCUCCUCUUAGCCGACACUGAGGCGCGACAGCGUGGGGAGCAAACAGGAUUAGAUACCCUGGUAGUCCACGCCGUAAACGAUGGGCACUAGGUGCUUUGGGGAGCGACCCCCGGGGUACCGGCGCUAACGCAU